GUCGAGCGCUGUGUAACGGGUCCUGUCUCAACUCAGGAGUAUGUAAUUUAAAGUGGUUGUUGUUUGCAAAAGAGUCACACAUUUGUUUUUCAUUAAUUAUUUUUUUUUUAUUAUUUUCUAGUUUGAAUUGUGUUACAUUUGUCCUUUCGGGACCUUUUAUAGUUGUGUAUGCGGUAUGGGAUUUGCUCAUUGUUGUAGGCAGUACGGUGACCCAUAGUUAAUAAUUUCCAGUGUCAAUUGGUCAUUUGUGGAGCAUUGUGUUAUUUGCAAUCAUACCACAUUUUCUUUUUUUAUUAAUAUAUUUUCAGAAGAAUGACGCAAAAAACGUCGAAUAUAUUAAUUUGGUUUUUAUUAUCUCCAUGGCACGUUUUGUCAAAUCAUUUGAGAAUAAACACUGAAAACAUUUUUAAACUGACCAUGCGCAGAUUUAUUUUCAUAUCUACAUAAAACACUUGGAAUUUUAUAUCGAUUGAUUGAUUGAAAAGUCGAUCGCGAUGUAUCUAAAGCGUUUUCACUUGAAGAAAAAUCGGUUCAUAAAAAAAAUCGUUCUUUUAAAACUACGUCUGGGGAUGGAAUGUUUACGUCCGAUUGAAGAUCGAUCUUUCUCAUUUUUGCAAUACUAAAGAUCGGCGAUCUCAGAAAUGAUCGAUCUUUAUUGUUAUUGGAAACGGAGUCUUAGAUUUCUAAUGAUUUUAAGUAAUUAUCAUCAAAAUAAAAAGGAACAACAUUCUUAAACGAAAUUAAAAUUCAUGAUACCGGAAGCAAAAUUCUGUCUUG
rnacentral:lncRNA from 1 species